AUUGAACGCUGGCGGCAUGCCUUACACAUGCAAGUCGAACGGCAGCACGGGAGCAAUCCUGGUGGCGAGUGGCGAACGGGUGAGUAAUAUAUCGGAACGUGCCCAGUCGUGGGGGAUAACGCAGCGAAAGCUGUGCUAAUACCGCAUACGAUCUACGGAUGAAAGCGGGGGAUCGCAAGACCUCGCGCGAUUGGAGCGGCCGAUAUCAGAUUAGCUAGUUGGUGGGGUAAAGGCCCACCAAGGCGACGAUCUGUAGCUGGUCUGGGAGGACGACCAGGCACGCUGAAACUGAGAAGCGGUCCAGACUCAUACGGGAGGCAGCAGUGGGGAAUUUUGGACAAUGGGCGCAAGCCUGAUUCAGCAAUGCCGCGUGCAGGAUGAAGGCCUUCGGGUUGUAAACUGCUUUUGUACGGAACGAAACGGCCCUUUCUAAUACAGGAGGCUAAUGACGGUACCGUAAGAAUAAGCACCGGCUAACUACGUGCCAGCCGCCGCCGUAA
rnacentral:rRNA from 1 species